UACGGAGGGUGCAAGCGUUGUCCGGAAUCACUGGGCGUAAAGGGCGCGUAGGCGGCUCGGUAAGUAGGGGGUGAAAUCCUGCGGCUUAACCGCAGGGCUGCCUUCUAAACUGUCGAGCUUGAGCACGGUAGAGGCAGAUGGAAUUCCCGGUGUAGCUGUGGAAUGCGUAGAGAUCGGGAAGAACAUCAGUGGCGAAGGCGGUCUGCUGGGCCGUUGCUGACGCUGAGGCGCGACAGCGUGGGGAGCAAACAGG
rnacentral:rRNA from 1 species